GAUGAACGCUGGCGGCGUGCCUAAUACAUGCAAGUCGAGCGAACGGACGAGAAGCUUGCUUCUCUGAUGUUAGCGGCGGACGGGUGAGUAACACGUGGAUAACCUACCUAUAAGACUGGGAUAACUUCGGGAAACCGGAGCUAAUACCGGAUAAUAUUUUGAACCGCAUGGUUCAAAAGUGAAAGACGGUCUUGCUGUCACUUAUAGAUGGAUCCGCGCUGCAUUAGCUAGUUGGUAAGGUAACGGCUUACCAAGGCAACGAUGCCUAGCCGACCUGAGAGGGUGAUCGGCCACACUGGAACUGAGACACGGUCCAGACUCCUACGGGAGGCAGCAGUAGGGAAUCUUCCGCAAUGGGCGAAAGCCUGACGGAGCAACGCCGCGUGAGUGAUGAAGGUCUUCGGAUCGUAAAACUCUGUUAUUAGGGAAGAACAUAUGUGUAAGUAACUGUGCACAUCUUGACGGUACCUAAUCAGAAAGCCACGGCUAACUACGUG
rnacentral:rRNA from 1 species